CUCCUACUCCCCCCGUCCGAAAAUACUUGUCAUCAAAAUGAAUAAAAGGGGAUGUAUCUAGAUGUAUUUUAGUUCUAGAUACAUCCUUUUGUGUCCAUUUUGAUGACAAGUAUUUCUAGACGGAGGGAGUAUUAU
rfam:Triticum aestivum genome assembly, contig: Triticum_aestivum_CS42_TGACv1_scaffold_289736_4AL